rnacentral:rRNA from 1 species
CUGAAAGCAUCUAAGCGGGAAGCCUGCUUCGAGAUGAGGACUCCCACCCACUUGAUGGGGUAAGGCUCCCAGUAGACGACUGGGUUGAUAGGCCGGAUCUGGAAGCCAGGUAACUGGUGGAGGUGACCGGUACUAAUAGGCCGAGGGCUUGUCCUCAGUUG